ACGGGUGAGUAACGCGUGGGCAACCUGCCUGUUACAGGGGGGUAACACAGGGAAACUUGUGCUAAUACCGCAUAACACAGCGAGGUAGCAUUACCUUGUUGUCAAAGGAGAAAUCCGGUGACAGAUGGGCCCGCGUCCAAUUAGCUAGUUGGUGAUGUAACGGACCACCAAGGCGACGAUUGGUAGCCGAACUGAGAGGUUGAUCGGCCACAUUGGGACUGAGACACGGCCCAGACUCCUACGGGAGGCAGCAGUGGGGAAUAUUGCACAAUGGGGGAAACCUUGAUGCAGCAACGCCGCGUGAAGGAUGAAGGUUUUCGGAUUGUAAACUUCUUUAGUCAGGGACGAAAAAAAUGACGGUACCUGAAGAAUAAGCCACGGCUAACUACGUGCCAGCAGCCGCGGUAAUACGUAGGUGGCGAGCGUUGUCCGGAAUUACUGGGUGUAAAGGGCGUGUAGGCGGGAAUGUAAGUCAGAUGUGAAAUCCCAGGGCUUAACUCUGGAGCUGCAUCUGAAACUAUGUUUCUUGAGUGCCGGAGAGGAAAGCGGAAUUCCUAGUGUAGCGGUGAAAUGCGUA
rnacentral:rRNA from 1 species